CCCAGCCGUAAACUUUAAUUUACAUCCUCAUCGCCCGGGGACUACGAGCUAAGCUUAAAACCCAAAGGACUUGACGGUACCCCACAUCCACCUAGAGGAGCCUGUCCUAUAAUCGAUAACCCCCGCUUAACCUCACCAUUUUUAGCCUCUCAGCCUGUAUACCUCCGUCGUCAGCUUACCUCGUGAGUGACCUAUAGUGAGCUUAAUGUCCACACGUCAAAACGUCAGGUCAAGGUGCAGUAAAUAAAAUGGGAAGAGAUGGGCUACACUCUCUAAAUUAGAAAAUACGAAAGACUAUAUAUGAAAUCUAGUUAGAAGGCGGAUUUAGUAGUAAAAAGAGACCAUAGUGCUCCUUUUAACACGGCACUGGGGUGUGUAC
rnacentral:rRNA from 1 species